AUUUUUCCCCCAUUUUUUACAGGCCAAAUCAGACCAACACAGUGACACUCCUCAAAGAGUUAUCUCCCCUUGACCAGCCGUCAACAUAUAACCAAGUGACUUUCGUGAAGUGCAAAAUAACUGAAUCUGCAGGUAAAUAGGCAGGUUUCCAUGCCUUGAUCCGCCUGCCCGAACACACAAAUGAAUGCCUUUGACACAGUGUUGAACAGUUGCCACUCACACAGGCCACGAUGGAAUCGAUGGUGUGUUUCGUUCUCAGCAAUGGUGUAGACCGCUUGAGUUGCAGGCUGGAGGGGUGUGCUCGAGUUCCCACCGAAAAGUCUGUUGUUGUAACGGCAGUCUCCCUCAACACUUAUCUUGUGAUCACUGGAAAUCUUCCAAGGCAUCGGGAACAGCUGGGUGAGGCCGAAGUAACCGCAUAUUGCCAGUCGUCCCCUGUGAAUCGGUGACCACAUAUGAAGAUGCACCUCGACUCGUUGACGGCUUAGCCACUGCAUCAAAGUCUUCCCUGGACAGCCUGGUACAGGCCAAAUCAGACCAACACAGUGACACUCCUCAAAGAGUUAUCCCCCCUUGACCAGCCGUCAACAUAUAACCAAGUGACUUUCGUGAAGUGCAAAAUAACUGAAUCUGCAGGUAAAUAGGCAGGUUUCCAUGCCUUGAUCCGCCUGCCCGAACACACAAAUGAAUGCCUUUGACACAGUGUUGAACAGUUGCCACUCACACAGGCCACGAUGGAAUCGAUGGUGUGUUUCGUUCUCAGCAAUGGUGUAGACCGCUUGAGUUGCAGGCUGGAGGGGUGUGCUCGAGUUCCCACCGAAAAGUCUGUUGUUGUAACGGCAGUCUCCCUCAACACUUAUCUUGUGAUCACUGGUAAAACCUUUUAGUUUGUUUAGUCGAACCAAAUUAGACCGUCUUUCUUUCAUAUCCUGUCUGUUUAUGUACACUGUUUUGGAUCCAACAUAAUUGGCUGAAUUCUGCAUUCCACGCUUGCUUCCAACAGGGAUACCAGCUGCGGAUAAGGAAUCGCGAAAUCCUGUAAUUCCAACUGAUGUAUUCAUAAGGCCAACAUGUAUCCCAAUAUUAGGCUGAGCAGCUUUCUGACCUCGUGCAGUGGGUAAAGUGACUUCUUCGUACAAUUUGUGCUUCUUCGAUCUAAAAUGACAUAGCUCACAUUUUAAACCUAGGCGCCAACACAUACCCCAUUGUUGAUAGGACUGUUCGUCAUACUUCAGAUCACCAUCACAUGUUGGGAAGUUAUUUCUAUGUUCUCGAUAAGAUUCAUUGAAUAGAUUGAGCACUUUACCACAAUGAAGAAGUUUAUAGCCAUCUAAGU